UACGAAGGGGGCUAGCGUUGCUCGGAAUCACUGGGCGUAAAGGGUGCGUAGGCGGGUCUUUAAGUCAGGGGUGAAAUCCUCGGAGCUCAACUCCCAGAACUGCCUUUGAUACUGAGGAUCUUGAGUUCGGGAGAGGUGAGUGGAACUGCGAGUGUAGAGGUGAAAUCGUAGAUAUUCGCAAGAACACCAGUGGCGAAGGCGGCU
rnacentral:rRNA from 1 species